AACGAACGCUGGCGGCAUGCCUAACACAUGCAAGUCGAACGAUGCCUUCGGGCAUAGUGGCGCACGGGUGCGUAACGCGUGGGAAUCUGCCCUUGGCUUCGGAAUAACAGUUAGAAAUGACUGCUAAUACCGGAUGAUGUCCCCCUGAGAGAUCUUGGGGACCAAAGAUUUAUCGGCCAGGGAUGAGCCCGCGUAGGAUUAGGUAGUUGGUGGGGUAAAGGCCUACCAAGCCGACGAUCCUUAGCUGGUCUGAGAGGAUGAUCAGCCACACUGGGACUGAGACACGGCACAGACUCCUACGGGAGGCAGCAGUGGGGAAUAUUGGACAAUGGGGGGAACCCUGAUCCAGCAAUGCCGCGUGAGUGAUGAAGGCCUUAGGGUUGUAAAGCUCUUUUAACAGGGAUGAUAAUGACAGUACCUGGAGAAUAAGCUCCGGCUAACUCCGUG
rnacentral:rRNA from 1 species